GACGAACGCUGGCAGCGUGCUUAACACAUGCAAGUCGAACGAUGAAGCCGGAGCUUGCUCUGGUGAAUUAGUGGCGAACGGGUGAGUAACACGUGAGUAACCUGCCCUUGACUCUGGGAUAACUGCGGGAAACUGUAGCUAAUACCGGAUACGACCCUCGGAGGCAUCUCCUGGGGGUGGAAAGAAUUUCGGUCAAGGAUGGACUCGCGGCCUAUCAGCUUGUCGGUGAGGUAACGGCUCACCAAGGCGACGACGGGUAGCCGGCCUGAGAGGGUAAUCGGCCACACUGGGACGGAGACACGGCCCAGACUCCUACGGGAGGCAGCAGUGGGGAAUAUUGCACAAUGGGCGCAAGCCUGAUGCAGCAACGCCGCGUGAGGGACGACGGCCUUCGGGUUGUAAACCUCUUUUAGUAGGGAAGAAGCGAAAGUGACGGUACCUGCAGAAAAAGCACCGGCUAACUACGUGCCAGCCGCCGCAGUAA
rnacentral:rRNA from 1 species